rnacentral:rRNA from 1 species
CCUACGGGCGGCUGCAGUGAGGAAUAUUGGUCAAUGGCCGGAAGGCUGAACCAGCCAAGCCGCGUGAGGGACGAAGGUGCUAAGCAUCGUAAACUUCUUUUGUCAGGGAACAAAAUCAGGGUCGCGAGCCUGAUCGAGGGUACCUGAAGAAAAAGCAUCGGCUAACUCCGUGCCAGCAGCCGCGGUAAUACGGGGGAUGCGAGCGUUAUCGGGAUUUAUUGGGUUUAAAGGGUGCGUAGGAGGUAUGUAAAGUCAGCGGUAAAAGCCCGGGGCUCAACCCCGGUCGGCCGUUGAAACUGGCAGUCUUGAGUUGUCGAGAGGUAUGCGGAAUGCGCAGUGUAGCGGUGAAAUGCUUAGAUAUUACGCAGAACUCCGAUUGCGAAGGCAGCAUACCGGCGCCGAACUGACGCUGAGGCACGAAAGCGUGGGUAUCGAACAGGAUUAGAUACCCUUGUAGUC